UGGCCGCCUGCUGUCAGACACACUUUGGGGCCCUGUGGAAGGCACAGGCUGGUGCUGGCGCCCUCUGGCCUCUGCCCUGGAGCCACAGCAGGUUCCCCUGCCUGGAGACUGAGGGCAGCUCGAGGUUCACAGUGUGGGCCUCCGUGAGGAGAAGUGUCAUCCUGGGGGCUGAGGAAGCUGCGUGAGCCCCACCCCACAUGCCCACCGGCUGGUACCCCGACCCCUGACCCUGAAAGCACUUGGGGGGUUAGGAAGGAAUGGGGGACCAAGCCAGCCCAGACGAAAAUGAAGUUUGUGGCACAGUUCAAAAGGAUGGUCAGUCCAAAGCAGGAACCAAUGAAAAAAAACAUUGUUCAUGAAGGAGCAGGCGGUCAUUAUAAAUGGGAGAACAAAAACAGAAAUAAUCCCCAAAUAAGGGAAAGAAUGGGAUCUAUCAUGUGAAUGAGCCUGGUAAACCUGAGAUUGCCACCACCAUCAAGGUUAACCUGCCAAAUCAGGUAGUAACAACCCCUGUCACACCUUUAGAUGAAGAGUACAUGGAGCCAACUUGCAGGAAAAAUUAUAUGAAUGAGGAAGCAGCCACUUAUCUACCUGGAUGAUCAAUUUUGCAGGAGAUAUUUAGCAGAGAAGAUCUCUUCAAGUGACCUGAACCAGAGAAGAACUCGUAAGACCAACCCAAACCACAGGAUAGCAUCAGAUAUUUCCAGAGGAAGAGAAGGCUGUAUGGACUAGAGUGGAUGAUUUCUGAAUGUACCAGUAAGAAACAGUACUAGCCAUGAGUGACCUUGGCCAAAUCACCCUCUGGGCCUCAAUUUCUUUAUCUAAAAUAUGGAGGGGUUGGACUAGACCAGAGGAAAGAAAGACCUGGAUACCUGAGGCCCACAACACUCUCAAG